rnacentral:rRNA from 1 species
AACGAACGCUGGCGGCAGGCCUAACACAUGCAAGUCGAGCGAGGUAGCAAUGCCUAGCGGCGGACGGGUGAGUAACGCGUGGGAACGUGCCCUUUGCUUCGGAAUAGCCCCGGGAAACUGGGAGUAAUACCGAAUGUGCCCUUCGGGGGAAAGAUUUAUCGGCAAAGGAUCGGCCCGCGUUGGAUUAGGUAGUUGGUGGGGUAAUGGCCUACCAAGCCGACGAUCCAUAGCUGGUUUGAGAGGAUGAUCAGCCACACUGGGACUGAGACACGGCCCAGACUCCUACGGGAGGCAGCAGUGGGAAUCUUAGACAAUGGGCGCAAGCCUGAUCUAGCCAUGCCGCGUGAUCGAUGAAGGCCUUAGGGUUGUAAAGAUCUUUCAGAUGGGAAGAUAAUGACUGUACCAUCAGAAGAAGCCCCGGCUAACUCCGUGCCAGCAGCCGCGGUAAU